rnacentral:rRNA from 1 species
UACGAAGGGGGCUAGCGUUGUUCGGAAUCACUGGGCGUAAAGCGCUCGCAGGCGGUUUGAUAAGUCAGGGGUGAAAUCCCGGAGCUCAACUUCGGAAUUGCCUUUGAUACUGUCUGUCUUCGAGUUCGGGAGAGGUUGGCGGAAUUCCUAGUGUAGAGGUGAAAUUCGUAGAUAUUAGGAAGAACACCAGUGGCGAAGGCGGCCAACUGGCCCGAUACUGACGCUCAUGUGCGAAAGCGGGGGGAGCAAACAGG